CUUAGACCAGUGACCAAGCGAAGGAACUGGGAAUUCUCGCAUACGGCGACGGAGUCCAGGAUCAGAUUUAAAUCCCACGGGAUCCGGCAGAGUUGGUGCACCUACACUUGUGGUGGCGUAGGGGUACCAUUGGUGGGAUGUCGAGUUGCUCGGCGUUUAAGAGGAUAAUGCUGGUGUUGAUCCAUGUUAAUGUUUCCCCUGAAAGAUUAAUUUACAGGAUCAGCCACGAAGUUUUCCACACCCAUACAGUAAACUUACAUCAGCUACACAUGCUCCGUGUCGAUUCUUGAAACUUGCGACUGCGAUUUCGACGGUAUCGAUUCCAGUAUCGUGCUUUUCUCCACUCACGUCACCAGAUAGAUACUCCGGAGUAUCUUUCACUCAACCUCAGACCCACUUUGAUUCCUAGUGUGAAGCGGCCGCACAAAAUUUUGACAUAGUGUCCGACGCUGGCAGCUGCAGACCAGAUUUGUCGACGAUGCAGUCCUUCUACUCUGAGAAUGAUCAACUCUUGGAGAAAAAUUCUUCGAUGUCCAUUAGCUCCAGAACGAUCACGCAACUGAAUCCCAAUAAUUUCUUGAAGGCUGCAUGUUCCAGUGAUGCUUCGUCAAUUUCGGGAGUGCUUAAGAAGAAGCAGAUCCUCCCUCUCUUUUUGACUUAAAUCAGUCCGGAUCGGAUCCUCGUGGAGUAGGAAACAUUUACAAACAAUUAAGUUGCUGAAGAGACUAACGGCUCCUCAAUUUUCAUCUUAAACCUUUCUGCCUCGAGCUUCGUUCGAGUCUCCGUGGCCCUCGUUCGAGCUGGGUUUAAGGUUCGCGGUAUCCAGUACAUCUUCGGAACCAUGACGAGGAAUUCGAGGAAUUUGAGGGGUGCGUAUAAUCAGUUGUCGAAAUGCGCGGUAAGACGGCGCAUGUGAAAUUUAGAAGAGAACAUGGUUUAUUGGGUGCCAAGUCCAAAUCGACUUGGAAACGGGAGACGUUGUGGCGCCGUGGAUCCAAGCAUCAAACGAAUCAGCACACCACGACGGCAACAGAUCGAGCAGGAAUAGAUGUGUGUACCUUGUGUGAGAUUCAGUUGCCGUGAAUAAUAUGCUGCUGCAAUGUACACCGAUGUCCAGUGGCGCUCACCUUUUUCUGGUGAGAAGUUUCCCUUCCGGAUGCCACGAGCAGAGCACUCAGCAGGAAGAGGUUAAGGAUGCAAUGAAACUUGGAGGGGAGUGAAGGGUCCCGCGUUUAAGCGGCGUAAGCAAUCGCUGAGGCAUGCAGUGUGCGUCUGGGCCAUGUGGGUCUCGCUCUCAAAAGCUAAAAAUGCUUUUUGCGGCUCUCGUCCCCUCAAGGCUGCAAUGUGCACUGCGCGCUGCAGGGAUCUGAUGUGUAUCCGCUGUUGGCAUUCUCGCCGUAAGGAUUGAUGCUGGCUCUUUGUGCAGUGGGCAGUUCAUACUAGGUGCUGGAAUGUUUACUCGACUAUUCCAUCAAAGGACUGUAACGAACGAAGCCUUUUCGCAGCACUGAGAUCGGCUGUCAUUGAAGGAGUUUCCAUCGCCUGUGCUUGGAGAUGCUACACUACAAAGCACCUGAGGUAGAGUUUUACAACGACCAGAUGUUGCAUGUGUCGCUGCGUUCUGAGUUGCCAUAUGCAGCAAUGGAUCAUCUCGAACCUGGAAAAGUGAGAAAAAAAACUUCGAAAAAACGCUGAAGGAGAGGUUUAGAUCAUUCUCAGGCUACGGUUUUGGCCAGACAUAUGCUACGGCCUGGAAAAUCGCUGAUAAUGUCGAGUAUGAGAGGCGACGCUGCUCUAAACCGCUUUCUACCAGUUUGCUCAUCCGCAUUCGAGACGCCUGUGAAGUCUGUAUGGACUUCCUCGACUAUGUCACCUCCAUUGACCACCGAUACUGUCGAAAGUGUGCAGACAUAAUGUCCUUGCAUAGUAUCUCCAAUACUCGUAGAAUUGAACGAUAAGUGCAGGGUCUGAUGAGAACAACUCGGGGACAAAAUCUAACGUUGGGAACAAAAGCUCCUUGGGUAGAUACAAGCCACAACCCGGAUGGGAGUAAUUUAUCACAACCAUAAAAAUCCGAACAUAAAUUGAAGUUCAAAGGUUUUAAGUA